GCUCGAAAUGAUCUCACUGGUUGGGUGCAGGCUUCAGACCUGUAGGUGAUUAGCGUCACAGUGGUUCGAUUCCACCUUUCGAGCG